rnacentral:rRNA from 1 species
AACGAACGCUGGCGGCAUGCCUAACACAUGCAAGUCGAACGAAGCCUUCGGGCUUAGUGGCGCACGGGUGCGUAACGCGUGGGAACCUACCAUCAGGUUCGGAAUAACAGUUAGAAAUGACUGCUAAUACCGGAUAAUGUCUUCGGACCAAAGAUUUAUCGCCUUUUGAUGGGCCCGCGUAAGAUUAGGUAGUUGGUGGGGUAAAAGCCUACCAAGCCGACGAUCUUUAGCUGGUCUGAGAGGAUGAUCAGCCACACUGGGACUGAGACACGGCCCAGACUCCUACGGGAGGCAGCAGUGGGGAAUAUUGGACAAUGGGCGAAAGCCUGAUCCAGCAAUGCCGCGUGAGUGAUGAAGGCCUUAGGGUUGUAAAGCUCUUUUACUGGGGAUGAUAAUGACAGUACCCAGAGAAUAAGCUCCGGCUAACUCCGUG